CUGCUGGAGGUGGCAAUGAAUGCAGAAACCUGUAACUGGCUGAAGUAUCAGGAAUACACGGUGGUAAAAUGUUUGGCCCUAAAUGGGACAGUUCUACCACCCUCUCGAAGGCUCGGGGAACACUGAGGAAGAGGGGGCUGAAAAUACUUUGCAGCAUAGAAAACCCUGCCUUAUAUAUAAAGAUGCCCCAAGAAUUAGACCAUCUUUGAUCGGGCCAACACUCUGAACUCUUAGAGAACUGAGAUCCCAGCCCGAUGGAUACUUCUUGCUUCAAUUUUGGCCCUUGACAUAGCAGGUUGUGGACACUGGAAAUUCUCCAUAUGAGCCACAGCCACCCCUAUUUGGAUGACUUCUCCGGCAGUAUCCUCAAGGCUGCCUGGUACAAGAGGACAUGUAGGUUUGAUGGUCUAUGGUGGCCCAGGGUUGCAAGCAGCCAAUGGAACUGUUUCACCUGUCCUGGUGACCAGUCAGCUGUCUUCACUGGCCAUGGCUGGCUGAAGGAACUCACAAGAAGCCAAUAAAUACUUCACCAGGCCCCUGUUUGUUAACAGAAAACCAUGGAAAAGUGUUCCUGUUGCAUGCACAACAGGCAAAAUAGAGAAACAUAAUUGAUGUGAGAUGGAGAGUAGAAUAAAAAUUCUUACGCUU